GUCACUGCAGCCUCGGAUUUGGACCUCAGAGGAGGGCAGCCAGUCUGCCGGGGAGGGACACAGAGGCCUUGUUAUAAAGUCAUUUACUUCCAUGAUACUUCUCGAAGACUGAACUUUGAGGAAGCCAAAGAAGCCUGCAGGAGGGAUGGAGGCCAGCUAGUCAGCAUCGAGUCUGAAGAUGAACAGAAACUGAUAGAAAAGUUCAUUGAAAACCUCUUGCCAUCUGAUGGUGACUUCUGGAUUGGGCUCAGGAGGCGUGAGGAGAAACAAAGCAAUAGCACAGCCUGCCAGGACCUUUAUGCUUGGACUGAUGGCAGCAUAUCACAAUUUAGGAACUGGUAUGUGGAUGAGCCAUCCUGCGGCAGCGAGGUCUGCGUGGUCAUGUACCAUCAGCCAUCGGCACCCGCUGGCAUCGGAGGCCCCUACAUGUUCCAGUGGAAUGAUGACCGGUGCAACAUGAAGAACAAUUUCAUUUGCAAAUAUUCUGAUGUCCAAUCAGAGACCAAAGAACAAGGGAACAAGGAAGCCCCAUUGAAACAGUUUAUAGACCUCAACCUCCCAAGGCACAGAGGAC
rnacentral:lncRNA from 10 species